CGGCGUGCCUAACACAUGCAAGUCGAACGGAGAUUAACGCUGAUGAAGCUUCGGCAGAUUCUUGUUAAAUCUUAGUGGCGGACGGGUGAGGUAACGCGUGGGCAACCUGCCUCAUACUGGGGGAGUAACAGCUGGAAACGACUGUUAAUACCGCAUAAGCGCACAGCAUCGCAUGAUGCAGUGUGAAAAACUCCGGUGGUAUGAGAUGGGCCCGCGUCAGAUUAGCCAGUUGGCAGGGUAACGGCCUACCAAAGCGACGAUCUGUAGCCGGCCUGAGAGGGCGGACGGCCACAUUGGGACUGAGACACGGCCCAAACUCCUACGGGAGGCAGCAGUGGGGGAUAUUGCACAAUGGAGGAAACUCUGAUGCAGCGACGCCGCGUGAGUGAAGAAGUAUUUCGGUAUGUAAAGCUCUAUCAGCAGGGAAGAAAGAUUCGUAAGAGAGAUGACGGUACCUGACUAAGAAGCCCCGGCUAACUACGUGCCAGCCGCGGC
rnacentral:rRNA from 1 species